rnacentral:lncRNA from 1 species
UUAAAAGAUAUAUUAUAACCAUAUUCAUUUACUGGAAAUAACAAGAUUAAAUUGUUUGAAUCAGAUAUAUUUAGAACAGAUUGAAAUGUAAGUAAAGACAAUUGUUUAAUUGUUUUUCGACGAUAUAUGCUUAAUUAUACAAUACUGUAUUGUUAAUGGUUUUUAUGGCCCCGCUAAGUUGUCGGGACCAUAUAGUUUGACCCUUGUCAGAAAUCCGUAAUUUUCUAAUUUUUGCUCGAUUUUCUCAUUUCCUGACCGGUGUGAGAAAAAUAUUUCUCCUCACUAGCGAAAAAUCUGUUCUCUGGAAAUGCUUGGUUGAAAUUUAAUUGUGACAUUAAAUUUUCUUGUUUUCUUCUGAAUUUUCUUAGUGUGACGUCAUGAAAAAGGCGACCAUGCCUGAUGACGUCAAUUGAAAGUACACAACUUUCCUCAAAUCUUUGAAAAGGAACGAUAAAAAUCAUAAGAGAAACAAUUUCCACCACUGUAACUUGUGUAUUUCUGUCAUUCCGUCAUUUCGUAUCAAAUCAUAAUACGGAGUUUUUUUUCUAAACGUCUUAAGUUACUGAUCUGAUUUCGGUAUGCCAGUUCACCAUUAUGACUUACAGAUCAAGUUAAAGUUCCGCUCUGCUUCGCUAAUUUUUGCCGAAAUUACGGGCUUUGCACUUUGAUAAAUUGUUGAAAAUCACAGUUAUACGACGGUUUGUUCUAAACGCCUUGAGAAAUAUGUAUUGGGCUGUCUUUGGUAUGAGAGUUAACUAUGACGAGUUAUAGAUCAAAUUUAAGUUUCGUUCCACUCCGAUGAUUUUUGCCAAAAUAAAGAGUUUAAAACUUUAAAAUUGUUGACAAUCACAAUUAUACUGACUUUUUUCCAGUACUAUUUUGAUAUGAGAGACUGGCCUAAUGUUUGUGUCCACAUGUGUUGUUAGAAUUUCACAUUUUUCUACUUUUUGAGACGGGGCCAUUCGUGUCGUUUCGACACAGCUAGUUUGAAUAAUGAUUUUGUAAGUCACGUUUGAACUGUUUUAGUAUUUUCACAUCUGGAUAUUUAAAUCUUGUUUACGGUGUCAGAGGUAUUGAUAUCACAUUGUUUUUUUUUCGAGUUUGUCUCAUUUUAUUAAACAUGCAUAUUUAAGAGUGAAAAAUGAUCGCAAUUUCACUUGAAGGUAAAAUUAGUACCUCAGAUCUGUAUUUUUUCUGAGUCAUUUUGUUGUUUUGAUGUACAAGUACCCGGCCAUAUCGACUUGUAUUUUUAUCCAUCUGAUGAGUUCAGCCUUUUUCAACUGAUUUUUAUAGUUCGUUCUAAUGUUGUACUGUUAUACCACUGUCCCAGAUUAGGGGAUCAUGCUGACAUGUUUAACCCAGCCACAUUCUGUAUGUAUGUGUCUGACCCAAGUCAGGAGCCUGUAAUUCAGUGGUUUCCGUGUGUUUAUGUUUUACAUAAUUUUUGUCUGUUCAUUUUUUGUACAUAAAUUAGCCGUUAGUUUUCUCGUUUGAAUUGUUUUACAUUGCCAUUUCCGGGAUUUUCAUAGAUGACUAUGCGGUAUGGGCUUUGGUGAUUGUUGAAAGACGUACGGUGACCUAUAGUUGUGAAUUUCUGUGUCAUUUAGGUGUCUUGGGGAGAGUUGUCUCGUUGGCAAUCCUACCACAUCUUUUUUUUAUAUAUAUAUAUAUUAUAUUUUGAUGGGGUUCGUGUUGCUCGGUCUAUAGUUUUCAAAUAUUGGUUUGAUAGACGUCAUUUGUGUUUUGCCAUGGCGAACUCAGUUUGUCUAUCACUUAUGAGUUCCAUACGUUUUAUUACAGACUGUUUUGGUAAAGAUUUAGAUUAAGUUCAAACAAUUCAAAUUUGACAAUUGUCAAAAUAAGUAUGAGAUAUCCCCUUUAGUGUAACUUUAUCGUUAUUUGUUUAAAACUGACAUUCAUCAUUACGGUUCCAUUUGAAUGUUUUGUACAAUAAAAUAGUUUUGAGUGACACUAACAAAUCUCAUUGAUAGGCAUGCAGUUUAAAUAAAAUCAUCAAUGAUGAUUGUUAUGCAUAAGUUGAUGCUAAACUAUUUUCUCUUAUUUGGAAUUUAACAUUAACUAUUAGUCCUUCUUUUCAUCACAGACAAAUUGUCUUUACACCGAUGUAAUGACUGUAAGCAACAAGACAACUUAUUCUCAAAUCAUUCUUCAAUGAUCCAUGCCCGCAGGAGCAUCGCCUCUGUGUUUUCAGAUUAGGUUCCAAUACAGAACUUUUGACCAAUAAGUCAUAGUAAAUCAGAAAUUUGUCCAAACUGAAGGUUUUUAUGUGAUAAAAAAUUCACAUUUAUCAGUCAUUUACUUUUAUAUUUUUAUCAGCAAUGUUUUUUUUUAAACAAAAAAUAGCUUGAUGUCAUACAGAAAGUAUUCUUUUGUGGUUGACAAUUUUGUGUUUAUAAAUUCAGAAGAGUAUGCUUGAAAUUCAAUUUAUGCAAGUAUAAGUAUGUUCCUUUUGAGACUCUGAGCAAAUGCUAUUGUUAGUGUACCGGUAGGUCAGUAGAGUACUCAGUAUUCAGUUCAUCAUUAUGGUCAGGAUUUAUAAGAAUCAAUCUUUAAUUUAUUUGUUGAUAAAAUUUUGGAAUUUAUUUACCAAAAGAUAUGAGUCCAACUCUAUGUAUGACAAAUUGAAUUAAUAAUAAUUUUUAUUGUUUUAAUUUAGAAUUUUGACAUCUUGGUCAACAAUUUAGCCCAGCAUUUUAUCAUAAUGGUUCUCGCUCUGCCUCGUUAUAUAUGAGAUAUAUCUUUAGACUAUCUGAGAAAAUUUGAAUUUGCAGAAUUUUCAAUCAGUUUUAUUUUUAUUAUCUAGUAACAUUGAAAAGAGUAUCGACAUGAAAAUUGGGUGCAUGUUCUUUAAGACGAUAGCGGUUUUGACCCUAUGCAUUUUAAAAGAAGGUAAUGCUUUGCCAUGUACCGAACCCGGCCUGGCUAUGUGUGAUUGCACGGGAACAGAAAUUAAUUGUAGGAACGUAAACUUAAACCAAAUACCAAGUAAUAUUCCUAAGAAUACAACAGUC